rnacentral:rRNA from 1 species
AAUACAUGCAAGUCGAGCGGACUUGAUGGAGAGCUUGCUCUCCUGAUGGUUAGCGGCGGACGGGUGAGUAACACGUAGGCAACCUGCCUGCAAGACCGGGAUAACCCACGGAAACGUGAGCUAAUACCGGAUAUCUCAUUUCCUCUCCUGAGGGRAUGAUGAAAGACGGAGCAAUCUGUCACUUGCGGAUGGGCCUGCGGCGCAUUAGCUAGUUGGUGAGGUAACGGCUCACCAAGGCGACGAUGCGUAGCCGACCUGAGAGGGUGAACGGCCACACUGGGACUGAGACACGGCCCAGACUCCUACGGGAGGCAGCAGUAGGGAAUCUUCCGCAAUGGGCGAAAGCCUGACGGAGCAACGCCGCGUGAGUGAUGAAGGUUUUCGGAUCGUAAAGCUCUGUUGCCAGGGAAGAACGUCCGRUAGAGUAACUGCUAUCGGAGUGACGGURC